UCAAAUCGAUUGCUCAGGUAAGCUUUCAAUAGCUCUCGCCCCUUUCUCUGUGCUUGGACCCUGUUGCUUGGAGUUAUUCGGUUUUUGCCUUUUGGUAUAGAUUAGGGUUUUGCAAUUCGGUGCUUGAAACAAGUUCCAGCUCGAUUGAGAUCGAAAAUCUUGGGUAAUUUCGCUGGAACCAAACAGAGAAGUUGCCGAAGAUUGAAGGCUGAUUCGAUGGCGUCUGGAAAUGAGGUCGAAGAAAUCGAUAGCUUGGAGAAAGGUUUGUUGUUGUCUCAGGAGAAACUGGAAGCGGAGGCCGAAGGCGAAACGGUUCUGUAUACGGCGUCGUUCCAGGAGACGGAAGAGAAUUUCGUCAAGCAUCAGACGGCUCAGUGGGUUCUAUACUCCUUGCUUCUAAUUCUGGCCUGGGGGGUCGGCUUGUUCAUGCUGCUUUAUCUACCAGUCCGAAGAUAUAUAGUGCGCAAAGAUAUCCGCUCCAGAAAGCUCUAUCUCACUCAAAACGCCAUCGUAUACAAAGUUACGAGGCCGGUACCAUUUCCAUGCUUUGGAGUGUUGAAGAAAGAGAAACAUGUCUUGUUGCCUUCGGUUGCCGACCUUGUAAUUGAACAAGGAUAUCUGCAAUCCCUGUUUGGUGUCUACUCUCUUAGAAUUGAAAAUGUUGGUGUAAGACGGCCUCCCAGUGACGAUGUUAAAAUCCAUGGCGUUGCCAAUCCAAGUGCUUUCAGGAAGGCUGUUCUUAUGCGUCUCGUGAAUAUGAGAACUGAGGCUUUCUCUAGACAGGUUUCCACAAUUGAAGACAUUCCAAAUUUAAGGCUGGCGUCUCCAUCAAAAUAUUUCAGGCAUGAUUCUUUUCCGCAUUCUGGGGAGCUAAUACUACUGCAAAAACUUGAGGAGGUUGGAAGUUCUAUGAAGAGAGUUCAAACUUUAAUUGAGGAGCAACAGUCUCAAACAUCAGAAGUUAUAGAUUGAGAUUGCAGAAGCUGAAUCUUUUGAAUAAUAAACUGAAUGAACACGUAUGUAGCACCAACCUUAGUCUACUAGGAGUAACUGGUGGCAAGCUUUCCAACUGCAUCACUGUGGCAAUCCUAAUUGCUUUCGUCCUCUUUUACUUGUCUUUCAAAAGAGAGUGGGCCCUCCAAUUAAUGGGCAGCCUCUUGGAUUGUGCAGGAUGCAAAGUGACAUAAUAGUAUCGUGUCGUGCCUUUUAGACUGAGAACCAACACAUAUUAGUAUUUCUUGUCUGAGCCGCCAUUCGAGGAGUGAUACUUUAGACCUAGAAAAGUUUAUUAAUUACAAUUGAAUUGUAUUUGUUUAAUUGUUUACAUGUAUAAGUUGGUGGGCAAGGUCGCACUAGUCCAACUGACUAGAUGGGGUUGUUGGUCAUUUCAUUUAGUUUGUAUUUUAUCACUUACAGGCAGAUGAAUUAUCUUUUCCAUAUACAUAUUUUGAUUGAUCA